ACUGCUUGCUAGGGCACCCAAACGAAAGGAUUUAUCCUAAGCGUCUGCCUUUGGCCAAUGGAAGGAGCUUUGAUGAUGAGUCCUUACUAGCAGAAACCUUGUUUUACUCUUGUCUGCACUCUCAGUGCCCAUCCCAGGGAUUGGCAGUCAGUGGGCUUUGCCUGAGAGCCUUCAAAAGGAACCCUAAAGACCCUUGUGAUUAUACUGGGCUUCCCUGGUAGCUCAUUUGGUGAAGAAUCUGCCUGCAAUUCAGGAGACCCUGGUUUGAUUACUGGGUCAAGAAGAUCUGCUGGAGAAGGGACAGGCUACCCAGUCCAGUACUCUUGGGCUUCCCUGGUGGCUCAGCUG
ensembl:lncRNA